UACGAAGGGUGCAAGCGUUAAUCGGAAUUACUGGGCGUAAAGCGUGCGCAGGCGGCUUUGCAAGACAGAUGUGAAAUCCCCGGGCUUAACCUGGGAACUGCAUUUGUGACUGCAUGGCUGGAGUGCGGCAGAGGGGGAUGGAAUUCCGCGUGUAGCAGUGAAAUGCGUAGAUAUGCGGAGGAACACCGAUGGCGAAGGCGGCGAUCUGGGAAGAUACUGACGCUGAGGUGCGAAAGCGUGGGGAGCAAACAGG
rnacentral:rRNA from 1 species